rnacentral:piRNA from 1 species
AUUUCUGAAAAACACUGUUCUGA